rnacentral:rRNA from 1 species
AGCUGAUCAGCCAUGCCGCGUGUGUGAUGAAGGCCUUAGGGUCGUAAAGCACUUUCGCCAGAGAUGAUAAUGACAGUAUCUGGUAAAGAAACCCCGGCUAACUCCGUGCCAGCAGCCGCGGUAAUACGGAGGGGGUUAGCGUUGUUCGGAAUUACUAGGGCGUAAAGCGCACGUAGGCGGAUUAGUCAGUCAGAGGUGAAAUCCCAGGGCUCAACCCUGGAACUGCCUUUGAUACUGCUAGUCUUGAGUUCGAGAGAGGUGAGUGGAAUUCCGAGUGUAGAGGUGAAAUUCGUAGAUAUUCGGAGGAACACCAGUGGCGAAGGCGGCUCACUGGCUCGAUACUGACGCUGAGGUGCGAAAGUGUGGGGAGCAAACAGGAUUAGAUACCCUGGUAGUCCACACCGUAAACGAUGAAUGCCAGUCGUCGGGUAGUAUACUAUUCGGCGACACAC